UACGAGAGGCCCAAACGUUAUUCGGAUUUACUGGGCUUAAAGAGUUCGUAGGCGGCUUGGAAAGUGGGGUGUGAAAGCCCUCGGCUCAACCGAGGAAUUGCGCUCCAAACUACCGAGCUUGAGUAGGCUAGAGGUGAGCAGAACUGAUGGUGGAGCGGUGAAAUGCGUUGAUAUCAUCAGGAAUACCGGAGGCGAAGGCGGCUCACUGGGACCUAACUGACGCUGAGGCGCGAAAGCCAGGGGAGCAAACGGG
rnacentral:rRNA from 1 species